GCCAGCAGCCGCGGUAAUACGAAGGGACCUAGCGUAGUUCGGAAUUACUGGGCUUAAAGAGUUCGUAGGUGGUUGAAAAAGUUGGUGGUGAAAUCCCAGAGCUUAACUCUGGAACUGCCAUCAAAACUUUUCAGCUAGAGUUUGAUAGAGGAAAGCAGAAUUUCUAGUGUAGAGGUGAAAUUCGUAGAUAUUAGAAAGAAUACCAAUUGCGAAGGCAGCUUUCUGGAUCAAUACUGACACUGAGGAACGAAAGCAUGGGUAGCGAAGAGGAUUAGAUACCCUCGUAGUCCAUGCCGUAAACGAUGUGUGUUAGACGUUGGAAAUUUAUUUUCAGUGUCGCAGUGAAAGCGAUAAACACACCGCCUGGGGAGUACGACCGCAAGGUUAAAACUCAAAUGAAUUGACGGGGACCCGCACAAGUAGUGGAGCAUGUGGUUUAAUUCGAAGAUACGCGCAGAACCUUACCAACACUUGACAUGUUCGUCGCGACUUUAAGAGAUUAAAGUUUUCGGUUCGGCCGGACGAAACACAGGUGCUGCAUGGCUGUCGUCAGCUCGUGUCGUGAGAUGUUGGGUUAAGUCCCGCAACGAGCGCAACCCUCACUUUUAGUUGCCAUCAUUAAGUUGGGCACUCUGAAAGAACUGCCAGUGAUAAGCUGGAGGAAGGUGGGGAUGACGUCAAGUCCUCAUGGCCCUUACGUGUUGGGCUACACACGUGCUACAAUGGUAUUUACAACAGGAAGCAAGACGGCGACGUUUAGCAAAUCCUUAAAAAAUACCUCAGUUCGGAUUGCACUCUGCAACUCGAGUGCAUGAAGCUGGAAUUACUAGUAAUCGUGGAUCAGCGUGCCACGGUGAAUGCGUUCCCGGG
rnacentral:rRNA from 1 species